rnacentral:rRNA from 1 species
CUGGUUGAUCCUGCCAGUAGUCAUAUGCUUGUCUCAAAUAUUAAGCCAUGCAUGUCUAAGUAUAAGCACUUUAUACUGUGAAACUGCGAAUGGCUCAUUAAAUCAGUUAUAAUUUAUUUGAUAAUACCUUACUACUUGGAUAACCGUGGUAAUUCUAGUGCUAAUACAUGCUUUAAACCCCGACUUCUGGAAGGGGCGUAUUUAUUAGAUUAAAAACCAAUCGUAGCAAUACGUUUACAGGUGAAUCAUGAUAACUUUUCGAAUCGCAUAGCUAUGCUGGCGAUGGUUCAAUCAAAUUUCUGCCCUAUCACCUUUCGAUGGUAGUAUAGAGGACUACCAUGGGCACAACGGGUAACGGAGAAUUAGGGUUCGAUUCCGGAGAGGGAGCCUGAGAAACGGCUACCACAUCCAAGGAAGGCAGCAGGCGCGCAAAUUACCCAAUCCCGAUACGGGGAGGUAGUGACAAUAAAUAACAAUACCGGUCUUUAUAAGAUUGGUAAUUGGAAUGAGUACAAUCUAAACCUCUUAACGAGAACCAAUUGGAGGGCAAGUCUGGUGCCAGCAGCCGCGGUAAUUCCAGCUCCAAUAGCGUAUAUUAAAGUUGUUGCAGUUAAAAAGCUCGUAGUUGAAUUUUGGCCCUGGUUGGGCGGUCUACUCAAUGAGUAGUACUUCUCUGGCUGAGGCUUUCCUUUUGGCGAGCUAUAGUGCUAUUCAUUUAGUGCGAUAGGGAACCAAGACUUUUACUUUGAAAAAAUUAGAGUGUUUAAAGCAGGCUUACGCUUGAAUAUACUAGCAUGGAAUAAUAAAAUAGGACUUUGGUUUUAUUUUGUUGGUUUUCGAAACCGAAGUAAUGAUUAAUAGGGAUAGUUGGGGGCAUUCGUAUUCAGCCGUCAGAGGUGAAAUUCUUGGAUUGGCUGAAGACGAACUUCUGCGAAAGCAUUUGCCAAGGAUGUUUUCAUUAAUCAAGAACGAAAGUUAGGGGAUCGAAGACGAUCAGAUACCGUCGUAGUCUUAACCAUAAACUAUGCCGACUAGGGAUCAGACAAUGUUUAAUAAUGACUUGUUUGGCACCUUAUGAGAAAUCAAGUUUUUUGGGUUCCGGGGGGAGUAUGGUCGCAAGGCUGAAACUUAAAGGAAUUGACGGAAGGGCACCACCAGGUGUGGAGCCUGCGGCUUAAUUUGACUCAACACGGGGAAACUUACCAGGUCCAGACACAGUUAGGAUUGACAGAUUGAGAGCUCUUUCUUGAUUCUGUGGGUGGUGGUGCAUGGCCGUUCUUAGUUGGGGAGUGAUUGUCUGGUAAUUCCGUUACGAACGAGACCUUAACUGCUAAUAGUGCAUAACUUGGUGAUGAUCACUUCUAGAGGACUAUAGACGUUAGUCUAUGAAGUUGAGCAUAC